UACGAAGGGGGCUAGCGUUGCUCGGAAUCACUGGGCGUAAAGCGCACGUAGGCGGCUUUCUAAGUCAGGGGUGAAAUCCUGGAGCUCAACUCCAGAACUGCCUUUGAUACUGGAAAGCUUGAGUUCGGGAGAGGUGAGUGGAACUGCGAGUGUAGAGGUGAAAUUCGUAGAUAUUCGCAAGAACACCAGUGGCGAAGGCGGCUCACUGGUCCGGUACUGACGCUGAGGUGCGAAAGCGUGGGGAGCAAACAGG
rnacentral:rRNA from 1 species